rnacentral:tRNA from 1 species
GGGGAAGUGGCGGAACGGCAGACGCGCAUGAUUUAGGAUCAUGUGCCCAAAGCGGCGUGGGAGUUCGAGUCUCCCCUUCCCCACCA